rnacentral:rRNA from 1 species
AGUGGCGAACGGGUGAGUAAUGUAUCGGAACGUGCCCAGUCGUGGGGGAUAACUGCUCGAAAGAGCAGCUAAUACCGCAUACGACCUGAGGGUGAAAGCGGGGGAUCGCAAGACCUCGCGCGAUUGGAGCGGCCGAUAUCAGAUUAGGUAGUUGGUGAGGUAAAGGCUCACCAAGCCGACGAUCUGUAGCUGGUCUGAGAGGACGACCAGCCACACUGGGACUGAGACACGGCCCAGACUCCUACGGGAGGCAGCAGUGGGGAAUUUUGGACAAUGGGCGCAAGCCUGAUCCAGCCACGCCGCGUGCGGGAAGAAGGCCUUCGGGUUGUAAACCGCUUUUGUCAGGGAAGAAAAGGUUCUGGCUAAUACCUGGGACUCAUGACGGUACCUGAAGAAUAAGCACCGGCUAACUACGUGCCAGCAGC